UNAGGGAUGACGGCCUUCCGGGUUGUAAANCNNNUUNAAUAGGGACGAAGCGCAAGUGACGGUACCUAUAGAAGAAGGACCGGCCAAUUACGUGCCAGCAGCCGCGGUAAUACGUAGGGUCCGAGCGUUGUCCGGAAUUACUGGGCGUAAAGAGCUCGUAGGUGGUUUGUCGCGUUGUUCGUGAAAACUCACAGCUUAACUGUGGGCGUGCGGGCGAUACGGGCAGACUAGAGUACUGCAGGGGAGACUGGAAUUCCUGGUGUAGCGGUGGAAUGCGCAGAUAUCAGGAGGAACACCGGUGGCGAAGGCGGGUCUCUGGGCAGUAACUGACGCUGAGGAGCGAAAGCGUGGGGAGCGAACAGGAUUAGAUACCCUGGUAGUCCACGCCGUAAACGGUGGGUACUAGGUGUGGGUUUCCUUCCUUGGGAUCCGUGCCGUAGCUAACGCAUUAAGUACCCCGCCUGGGGAGUACGGCCGCAAGGCUAAAACUCAAAGGAAUUGACGGGGGCCCGCACAAGCGGCGGAGCAUGUGGAUUAAUUCGAUGCAACGCGAAGAACCUUACCUGGGUUUGACAUGCACAGGACGCCAGUAGAGAUAUUGGUUCCCUUGUGGCCUGUGUGCAGGUGGUGCAUGGCUGUCGUCAGCUCGUGUCGUGAGAUGUUGGGUUAAGUCCCGCAACGAGCGCAACCCUUGUCUCAUGUUGCCAGCACGUAAUGGUGGGGACUCGUGAGAGACUGCCGGGGUCAACUCGGAGGAAGGUGGGGAUGACGUCAAGUCAUCAUGCCCCUUAUGUCCAGGGCUUCACACAUGCUACAAUGGCCGGUACAAAGGGCUGCGAUGCCGUGAGGUGGAGCGAAUCCUUUCAAAGCCGGUCUCAGUUCGGAUCGGGGUCUGCAACUCGACCCCGUGAAGUCGGAGUCGCUAGUAAUCGCAGAUCAGCAACGCUGCGGUGAAUACGUUCCCGGGCCUUGUACACACCGCCCGUCACGUCAUGAAAGUCGGUAACACCCGAAGCCGGUGGCCUAACCCUUGUGGNAGGGAGCCGUCGAAGGUNGGNUCGGCG
rnacentral:rRNA from 1 species